AGAGCGAACGCUGGCGGCAGGCCUAACACAUGCAAGUCGAGCGCCCCGCAAGGGGAGCGGCAGACGGGAGAGUAACACGUGGGAACGUACCCUUUGGUUCGGAACAACACAGGGAAACUUGUGCUAAUACCGGAUAAGCCCUUACGGGGAAAGAUUUAUUGCCAAAGGAUCGGCCCGCGUCUGAUUAGCUUGUUGGUGAGGUAACGGCUCACCAAGGCUACGAUCAGUAGCUGGUCUGAGAGGAUGAUCAGCCUCACUGGGACUGAGACACGGCCCAGACUCCACGGGUUAGGCAGCAGUGGGGAAUAUUGGACAAUGGGCGCAAGCCUGAUCCAGCCAUGCCGCGUGGAUGAUGAAGGCCCUAGGGUUGUAAAGUCCUUUCGACGGGGAAGAUAAUGACGGUACCCGUAGAAGAAGCCCCGGCUAACUUCGUGCCAGCAGCCGC
rnacentral:rRNA from 1 species